GUAAACAUUGAAGUUAUGCCAAGUUUGCAAAAGAAUUGGGAAUUUUAUCACUGAGAUUGUUAUUGUCAAGAUAUAAAUAAAGGAGCUGUUUAAGGUUUGCUAAAAAGGAGGGAAUUUGACCACUAAAUCUAUUGAAUGAGAGAUCCAAUUCAAUGAGGUGCUCAAGGUUCCCAAAUGUCGAUUGAAUUUGACAACGCCGAUGGAAUUUGACCACUAAAAUUGUUGUAUGAGAGGUCCAACCAAAUGAGGUGCUGAAGGUUCCCAAAUAUCGAUGGAAUUUGACCAUUAAAAUUGUUGC
rnacentral:misc_RNA from 1 species